UCCGUAGGUGAACCUGCGGAGGGAUCAUUACCGAGUUAUACAACUCCCAAACCCACUGUGAACCUUACCUCAGUUGCCUCGGCGGGAACGCCCCGGCCGCCUGCCCCCGCGCCGGCGCCGGACCCAGGCGCCCGCCGCAGGGACCCCAAACUCUCUUGCAUUACGCCCAGCGGGCGGAAUUUCUUCUCUGAGUUGCACAAGCAAAAACAAAUGAAUCAAAACUUUCAACAACGGAUCUCUUGGUUCUGGCAUCGAUGAAGAACGCAGCGAAAUGCGAUAAGUAAUGUGAAUUGCAGAAUUCAGUGAAUCAUCGAAUCUUUGAACGCACAUUGCGCCCGCCAGCAUUCUGGCGGGCAUGCCUGUUCGAGCGUCAUUUCAACCCUCGAGCCCCCCCCGGGGGCCUCGGUGUUGGGGGACGGCACACCAGCCGCCCCCGAAAUGCAGUGGCGACCCCGCCGCAGCCUCCCCUGCGUAGUAGCACACACCUCGCACCGGAGCGCGGAGGCGGUCACGCCGUAAAACGCCCAACUUUCUUAGAGUUGACCUCGGAUCAGGUAGGAAUACCCGCUGAACUUAAGCAUAUCAAUAAGCGGAGGA
rnacentral:rRNA from 1 species